rnacentral:rRNA from 1 species
AUUGAACGCUGGCGGCAGGCCUAACACAUGCAAGUCGAGCGAGCGGCGGACGGGUGAGUAAUGCCUAGGAAUCUGCCUGGUAGUGGGGGAUAACGUAGGGAAACUUACGCUAAUACCGCAUACGAUUGAAUGAGCCGAUGUCGGAUUAGCUAGUUGGCGGGGUAAAGGCCUACCAAGGCGACGAUCCGUAGCUGGUCUGAGAGGAUGAUCAGGCACACCUGAACUGAGACCCGGUCCAGACUCCUACGGGAGGCAGCAGUUGGGAAUUAUGGGCAAUGGGCGCAAGCCGGAUCCAGCCAUGCCGCGUGGGUGAAGAAGGCCUUCGGGGUGUAAAGCCCUUUUGUGGGGAAAGCCGUACCCAAAGAAUAAGCAACGGCUAACUUCGGGCCAGCAGCCGGGGUAAUUC